GUGAGAGUCCCUGAGGGUGAGGGAACUUUGUUUCCCCCAGCUUUGCCUCCCCCCUUCACGGUGAAGCCAUGAAAACAUUUGCUCAGCAAUCAGACUUCAAAGUAAAGUUCUUUAGGACCUAGCCCGAAACGUCGAUUUUCCUGCUCCCUCGGACGCUGCCUGACCUGCUGUAUUUUUCCAGCACCACUCUGAUCAGAACUCUGGUUUCCAGCAUCUGCAGUCCUCACUUUUCCCAAGUUCUUUAAGAUGUCUGGAGGUCAUGGAAGGCACUACAUGAAUUGUGGAGACCGGGCUGUUUGACCUUGGAGGCAGAACAUCAGCUGGAAUCAUGAUGGAGAUCUUUCAAAUCAACCCGAUUCAGACAUGAUACAUGUCUGAAGCAGAUGGGACUUUUGAACCUGGCUCUCCUGUCCCAGAGGUAGGGACAUUACCAUGGCGCCGUGAGAACAGAACCUUGAGGAAUAACCUGAGCUAAAUUGACAACGCCUCGGAAUCACCAUGGUAACAGGGUGCCUACUCCAAAGGAGGGGAGAAAGGUUUGAUCAAUGUCCACACAGCCACAGUCAGCCUUGUAACCAGCAUCCCAGCUUGGUCAGGGCAGGAAGCGAGAAGGCCGGGAAGGUGAUCCUUAAAU